GGCGGGGCCAGCAGGGGAGAACAGACUGUGUCCUGUGAGAGCUCUGUGCGCUGCAGACUCUGACUGCCAGAGUCUGCAGCAGGAUAUGAAGACUGAGCACAGCAGUCACCUGUAGUGUACAGGGGAGCACAUGACCCGGCAGCCAGGGCUCUGCAUAGCGGUGGCUGGCCCCGCCCACCACACUAACAAUACACUAGGCAGCGUGACACAGCCCAGCCUUCCUGCUCCUGGAUGUGUCUGGCCUGUGCUCCCCACACACUCCCUGCUCUUCACAGGAGGGAGCAACAAACCAGGUGUUGGUUACUGUACAUGGGCCUGAACAGACAGGAAAACAUCAACGUGUCAAAUAUUAAUUAGGGGCCGACAGAGCGUUUAAGGAGCAUGGGGGCCAGGCAGCCUCCUGGCUAGUGUCGCAAUGAUGGAGAACAGAUUAAGCAGUCAACAGGGGGAAGCUGUGCGCAAUAGAACGUAGAGGAGGUAUGCAGAGGUCACAGCGCUCCUGAGAUUUUCCACCACUACCCCGUUACCUACCGAAACGACUGCUGAUUGUCAAACACUGUGCAAAUGAAUCCUCUCUGUGACUGUCGCAGGACCAUGGUGGGACCUGUGCAGAAUGCCGAUAAUACUCAACUGCGCAUACAUCGAUACAUCUAUGAAUCAGGCCAAUACAUAUUUGUCAGCAGUUGAAUUUUACUCUCCGGGCAGGUGAGAAGUGGUGGAGGCGGGGCCACACCAGUUGCCUCCUUAGGCCCUGCCCCCUCACUGUAAAUUGCCGCAAAUGACACCGAUUUGAAAAGGGGUGGCGCUCAGAUGGCGCAAUUACAAUAGAAUGGUGUAAUUAGGCCUCGCCCCCACCAGAAACAGCAAAUUCAAGGUAUUUAUCUCCCCAUUCUGCACACUUCACUCGGAAGUCGGUGGGAUGCGGGAGGAGUGCCCAUUAUUCCAGGGGUGCAGGGGACUACCUGAAAAAAGUGUCUCAUAGAAACAUAGAAUUUGACGGCAGAUAAGAACCACUUGGCCCAUCUAGUCUGCCCCUUUUUUAUUUUAUCCUUUAGGCAAUCUCAACCCUUUUUUAACCUUAAUUCUUUGUAAGGAUAUUCAUAUGCCUAUCCCAAGCAUGUUUAAAUUGCCCUACAGUCUUAGCCUCUACCACCUCUGAUGGAAGGCUAUUCCACUUAUCCACUACCCUUUCUGUGAAGUAAUUUUUCCUUAAAUUUCCCCUGAACCUCCCCCCCUCCAGUCUCAAUGUAUGCCCUCAAGUUCUAAUACUUCUUUUCCUUUGAAGAAUGUUUCCCUCCUGAACUUUGUUAAGACCCUUGAUAUAUUUGAAAGUUUCUAUCAUGUCCCCCCUUUCCCUUCUCUCCUCCAAACUAUACAUGUUAAGAUCUUUUAGCCUUUCCGGGUAAGUUUUGUGAUGUAGGCCAUGCACCAUUUUAGUUGCCCUUCUUUGUACACUCUCUAAUGUAUUUAUAUCCUUCUGGAGAUAGGGUCUCCAGAACUGGACACAGUAUUCCAUAUGGGGCCGUACCAAUGACCUAUACAGUGGCAUUAUCACUUCUUUUUUCCUGCUACUGAUUCCUCUCCCUAUGCAACCAAGCAUCUGACUUGCCUUUCUCAUUGCUUUGUUGCAUUGCUUUCCUGCCUUCAAGUCACUUGAAAUAGUGACUCCUACAUCUCUUUCCUCCCCAGUAGUUUCCAUUAUAGUACCCUUGAUACUAUACUUAGCCUUUAAGUUUUUGAGACCCAAGUGCAUGAUUUUGCAUUUUUUAGCAUUAAACUGUAGUUGCCACUCCGCGGGAUCUGUGAGAGUAGUGACGUAUAGUGCUAUCAAGCUGGUUAUGUAAGCAGAUCCUCCAAACAAGCUUUGGCACAAAAAUAGUUUUAGCAAAAAAAAACACUAGUGCAAUACUAAUGAGCAUUUGAUAUUUAAUAGUGCAAUAAUACAAAAUAUUUAUUUAUGAAUAUAUUUAGCAUCGCUUUAUAGUGAGAAUAUUUCAUAAUCCAUAUCGCUCCCUCCAACAGUGCUCAAACAUGGAGAGGGCACUCAACCUCCACACCAUGACCCCAUCUCUGAAAUAAACAGCAUUAAUACAGGCUACAGACACUAAAUCUAACAUUGAUGUAGCUCCACAAAUGUGUAUGUGAAGCUUCCUCCAUAUAGUGUUUGAGUCUGUUUGAUAUUGACUUUACACGUACUACAAGCUCAUUUCCUUUGUCAUCAGCCAUUUCCAACUCAUGACAUCAGUGUCCUUGUGUAGCAAGUUCCAUGGCCAAAUUAACCUUUUAGAGCAAACAGGCCAUUUAUACAAGCCUUAAACCCUCGCUCAUUUCUUUUCUUUUUUUUCAAAAAUGUUUUUAUUGCUUUUUUCUUGUAAACAUUUUAGUUAAAAUACCAACAAAGCAAUAAUUGAAGUAGUAAAUUAAAAACAAUGCAUUAUAGAAUGACUGUGAUACAGGACGUUUUAUCAAAAACAUAGAAGCCGUAGAAUAUCAGCAAGUUAUGUAAUCGAUAAUUAAAGAGCAAUCUCUCAUGGAGAGAGAAAGAAGAGAAGAAAAAAAGGAUAAAAAGAGGAGAAGA